GACGAACGCUGGCGGCGUGCUUAACACAUGCAAGUCGAACGGAAAGGCCCUGCUUUUGCGGGGUGCUCGAGUGGCGAACGGGUGAGUAACACGUGAGUAACCUGCCCUUGACUUUGGGAUAACUUCAGGAAACUGGGGCUAAUACCGGAUAGGAGCUCCUGCUGCAUGGUGGGGGUUGGAAAGUUUCGGCGGUUGGGGAUGGUCUCGCGGCUUAUCAGCUUGUUGGUGGGGUAGUGGCUUACCAAGGCUUUGACGGGUAGCCGGCCUGAGAGGGUGACCGGCCACAUUGGGACUGCGAGACGGCCCAGACUCCUACGGGAGGCAGCAGUGGGGAAUAUUGCACAAUGGGCGGGAGCCUGAUGCAGCAACGCCGGGUGCGGGAUGACGGCCUUCGGGUUGUAAACCGCAUUCGCCUGUGACGAAGCGUGAGUGACGGUAAUGGGUAAAGAAGCACCGGCUAACUACGUG
rnacentral:rRNA from 1 species